rnacentral:lncRNA from 1 species
UUUCCAUCAUGGGGUUUGGAAUUGGAGAAAGGUUUAGCUGGCGGUCAUGUAAAACCUUUCCAGCAAACACUUUAUUUAGAAAGUAGCAAAAGGUGUGCUUGCAUUUUUAUUUUUAUUUUUUGCUUCAGGCUGUUAUCACCUGUGUUAAGAACAAAGAAUAUGAACAUGCCAGCAAAAUCUUAAGGGAACACAUGUCACAGGAUCCAAACUGCAAGCAAAUGUCUGUAAUUUUGAAUCACAUCAUCCGAAAGAAAAACCCAUCUCAUCCAGCCAUCUCUAAUUUGUCCUGCAAAGUUUUCCAGCAACGGAUUUUUCUCGUCUUUAAAUCUUACUUGGACGAUUCUGAGCCAUUUCUCUUAGUGGUGAGUGUUGCUUUUCACGCCAGUUUGGUCUUAAUGAGUUUAAUUUGAU